CCCCACACCUGGACAACUCAGUGACAUCCAACAGACUCAGAUACCACACACUGAAAAGACAAUGCUGAGCAAUCCAAAAAUUACUGGCCACACACAACCUUUAAGAAGUAUGGCGAGUGACACACACUGGAGAUAGAGAAUACACCCACAACUAGGCGGUACAUAAUACAUAUUCCAGAAUAGACAGGUUUGUGGUAACGGGGUAC